GACGAACGCUGGCGGCGUGCUUAACACAUGCAAGUCGUACGGUAAGGCCCUUUCGGGGGUACACGAGUGGCGAACGGGUGAGUAACACGUGAGUAACCUGCCCACAACUUUGGGAUAACGCUAGGAAACUGGUGCUAAUACUGGAUAUGUGCUCCUGCUGCAUGGUGGGGGUUGGAAAGCUCCGGCGGUUGUGGAUGGACUCGCGGCCUAUCAGCUUGUUGGUGGGGUAGUGGCCUACCAAGGCGGCGACGGGUAGCCGGCCUGAGAGGGUGACCGGCCACAUUGGGACUGAGAUACGGCCCAGACUCCUACGGGAGGCAGCAGUGGGGAAUAUUGCACAAUGGGCGCAAGCCUGAUGCAGCAACGCCGCGUGCGGGAUGACGGCCUUCGGGUUGUAACCCGCUUUCAGCAGGGACGAAGCUUUUUGUGACGGUACCUGCAGAAGAAGCACCGGCUAACUACGUG
rnacentral:rRNA from 1 species